CAAUAGCGUAUAUUAAAGUUGUUGCGGUUAAAAAGCUCGUAGUUGGAUUUCUGCUGAGAACGACCGGUCCGCCCUCUGGGUGUGUAUCUGGCUCUUUCUUGGCAUCUUCUUGGUGAACGUUGCUGCACUUGACUGUGUGGAGCGCUACCCAGGACUUUUACUUUGAGGAAAUUAGAGUGUUUCAAGCAGGCAUACGCCUUGAAUACAUUAGCAUGGAAUAAUAAGAUAGGACCUCGGUUCUAUUUUGUUGGUUUCUAGAGCUGAGGUAAUGAUUAAUAGGGAUAGUUGGGGGCAUUCGUAUUUAACUGUCAGAGGUGAAAUUCUUGGAUUUUCGGAAGACGCACGACUGCGAAAGCAUUUACCAAGGAUGUUUUCAUUAA
rnacentral:rRNA from 1 species